rnacentral:lncRNA from 13 species
AUGAGGCCGGAGAGGAGGUUUGAGUAUGCAGGCCCAGUGGUGUUCUCCCCUCCCACAAUCCAGAGUGUCAGAGAUGGCAAACCUCUACUCUCUGGCCACUGGAUGACCUCCAUGCCCGAUGGACCCUCCCAGGAACCUGUGAGCUUUGACCCUGACCGCAUCAGCGCCUGGCUGGGACAGACACACGGACACACCGUCCCCUCUAAAGCCCCCUCGGUCCAACAGCACAGAGCCUGCUCCAAGUCUCCAGAUGAAGAGCCACACUGCAAUGGCUCAUGGGAGGUAGUCCAUAGUGAGCAACGGCCAGAUGAGUGCCCUAACAGACAAACACAGUUCCGCUUUUGGCCCCUGGGGGCCGUGUGGGUACUAAAGACUCUGAGGAGCCCAGUGUUCCUGGUCGUCCUGCUGGCUGUGUUCCUAGCCCUGCUGGUCUUGCCUAUAACACUCCUCAUGGACCCAGAGUGCCACCGCUCCAACUCCCUGGCUCUCUCCUUCCAACUGGCCCUGAGCUACGUCAACGGGCCCCCGCCAACCCGAGGGACAAAAGUGUCACAGAGGGGGCACAACACACCCCUGGUGAGCCUGGAACACACCUGAUUCAGGGGUCGGACAGUCCCAGAAUGCCUUUGCAUUUCAGAGCCUUGCGUAAUGCAUUAACAAGGAGGCCGUAUGAGAAAAACGAGAAAUUAAGAACUGUUUGGCCCAAUCAAAAUGUGGGCUUGGUAUUUAUCUGAAUCCCUCCACCAACCUGCUGGCAGAAGUGGCCCAUGACUUAAUGGGCCUGAUUUGUAACGAUCUCUAAUGGCAUUCAUAAUGUGUCUUACUAUGCCAGAGUAGCACUUUUGUUGAUUGGUCUGUCAUGAUGGUUUUGUAACUUAUUUAUGUGGGUGAUUUAGAAUCUAUAUGGAAGACUUAAUAACGGCAAAUGCUUUGAGCAUUUCUCUUUGGGCAUUUGAUGAGACAAAGUACACAUUUAUCUGCAUAUCAAUAUUUAUUAUGUCAAACCUAAAGAGAGUUUUCGAUUUACCCGGUUCUAUCUGCAUUUUUGUCAAAAUUGAGUUAUUGACAUAGCCUUGUUCUGUUCAAUGUUCUCUACCUAUACAGUACUUUAAAUACCCCAAUGUAUGUUAAGUUCAAAAGAGUGCAAGAUAACAUUGCUAACGCCAUUCAAACCAAUGCAGGUUCGGAACUUUUAAAGCCAAAUAUCUCAGAAUUAUAUUUUAACAAAUAGAUCGUUAUAGUCCCAAGCUCUCGAUUUCUCAUGGGAUUUCUGCAAAUGAAUGAUACUGAAUGCCCGAGUUCGGAUUUACUAGGGAGACGUGCGGAAAUACCCCAUGUGUAAGUAAUUUGUAGGUCAAUGGGAUAGGUGACCUGGCUAAUGCACUUACAGUAGGAUAAAUUAGCAGUCAUUUUGUACUGCUGCAUGUGUGUGAUCUUGUUUGCAUGUGUGAGGGUUGUUAGUAUAUACUCAAUAAAUGUAUUUGACAUCUGUUGCGAUGCCAAAGGGGUCCAGCUGGGAAACAAUCAGCCAAAAGCCAAUGCAUCUGAGGCCAGUGAAGACAGUGUAAGCCUCUAAACAUAAUGUAUGUGUUAUGUAAUGGUUUAUGGUCCGUGCUUCUAUUUUGACACAGUGGAUGCAAUCCUGGGUCUCAUCUAUACAACGUCACAAAUGUAAUAUCAAAGUCUGACAAGUGGAGAAAAAAAAAAGAAACGUAAAAUACAUUUCUACUCCAUAAUAUUAUGAGGUACAUGCACCUCAUCUGGAAAUGUUGAAAUAUGUCUGCCUUAUGCUUGGGUGUGUGUGUUUGUGGGGGAGUGAUUGCACAGACUUUUGAUUCUUGUCCGUCCAGUGUGGAUCAGCGUGGAAAUGUUGUUGAAAUGUAAGAAGUCAGAUGCCUCAGCUUUUUGCAUUAAUGGAGGAUUUUUAAUCUUCUGCUUUAUACAGAAGAGAGGAUGUCUGUUUGUUUUUAUUUAUGUGUAGUUCCAGACCUGUACAUGCAUCAUGAAAUAAAGGAACAGUGUGAGAACAGAGGGGUAUAGAUCUUCUCCUUGUGUGUGGAAUGUGUGUGGAAUGGUAUGUCAUGUGAUUCUGAUUUCGCGAUGGCUUGCAAGAAUCUGGGCUAGUGGGUUAACUGAAAGGGGUUUUUGUACUGGCGCAUGCAACAACAACAAAAAACGCACCCAAGAAUGUUUCAAAUUCAAUUGGUACGCAAAUAAGUUAAUGUUGGAAGAAUUUGGGGAUGGCCUUUCAACACCAUGGCUUGCCAGUGGAAGUGGAUCCGGAUGCAUAGGGCCAGAGAUUCAGGGUUGUAUGGCUAAAGAGGAGACCAUAGUCUGAUAGGUCUUGACUAACAGGGCCACUCAGUUCACCCAUGCUAAUAAGGCGCAUUGCAGUGUAUUUAAUCUGUUGUUUG